CGGAUAAACACUUCUGCUCGGAUGUUUGGUCGUCCAAACGACAAUAACGCGUGAUUGCAGCAAGAUCUAGCUCAUUUUAAAAAUAUAAAAAAAAUUGCUCUCCAUACUCGCGAUAUUGGGAAAUAAAAUAGUUGGUGAAAGUUUUUUAGGGGUUUGAGAGAUUCUUCGGUGGGGUGACCUACAUGUUCUUUAUCGCUUCUAAAAUCGGGAUAUAAAAAUUGUGAGAAUAAUCAGACGGAGUAGGCAAACAUUGAAAACCUGAAUAUCGGCCAAUACUCUACUGACUCCUUCACGACCAGCAGAGGCUCAAUAUCCGACAGUAUCUUCCGGAGAAAAAAAAUUCCCCUCACCAGUUCUACGAAAAUGGACUCAUCAUUACUCUGUGCUUUCCUCACCUCCAUUUCUCUUUGGGAUUCCGGAUUAUGCCUUGAUUAUGGAUUCUUCAAAAGUGAGGAAUUAAAUACAACCAUUCAACAUGCGUCAAAAUUGCUCGCACCAUUCGCAAAAACCAAAUCUGAAAAUCACCCAAAAAUUAAUGGUGAAAUGACACUUCCAGAAACGGGGGAAAACAGGACUUUCCAUCCUGAUACUAGUCUCUUUCGCGCAGAGGCUGCGAUCACUGGAAUACCACCUGCAGACAUCGAUCUUGUAGAAUCAAUUUCGAUCGACAAAGUCGAGACAAAAUCGAUACUUAAAAAGCCUGAGAUUGAGCCAUUAAAUGUCACUCUCACCCUGCAAUCUUCCGGACAAAUUAAUCCUUUUCCCCCUCUCCUUUAAUUAGAAAAAAAAUCAGUAGAUCAAAUCAAUAGACAACUACCAAAACUGAAAGGGAAAUAAAUCUAAUACCAACCCGAAAUGUGUAUCUUCUAUCAUUAAAGAUUUAUUUCAUAUAAUAUUACACCAACAACUAUUAUUGAAUUUCUAUAAUUAAUAAUUCCUUAUCGUGUUAAAAAUGCGAAUAAACACUUAUUCAAUAAUAUAUAAUUAUGUAUAUAAUUUUAUAUACUUUUUAUAUAUUAGAAAUAUCGUAUAAUUAAUAUAUUUAUAGCCUAGUGAUGGAUUUUGUGCUGAGAACAUCAACUCCCUUAUUCACACGUACUCAGCAUCUUAUGAAAUUUAUUCCUCAAAUUCUCUCGAUUUACACAUUUACUCGAGAGGUCAAUGAUUUCGUUUAAUUUACAAAAAUUCGUGAAUUACCAUCCUCUUAUUUUUUUUUUCAUCUCAUUCUUGCUGUUCCGUUGGAAUGCAUGAUUACAUAAAUCUCUUCUCCAAUAAUUCUGUUUCGUUAUGAUAAAAUAAUUAAAUUCGAGCAGAAGCUGACGAUUAAGAGCUCAUUCUUAUAUCAUUUCUCAUGAUAAGCAAUUUCCUGUGAAUCAGUAUGAUUAUGUUACAGACAUGAUUAACGAAAACAAUAUAGAUAUGCUGAUGUCUAUUCAGAUAUAAUAUAUAUAUUUAUAUAUAUAUAAAUAUAUAUAUAUAUAAAUUCUGAAAAAUAUGAUAUGGCGAUGGCUCCUCAAAUUGCGACUGACAUUUCUCUAGUUUCAUUUACAAUCGCACGUUUCGAAUUCAAUUCAAUCGCACCUGUCGUUUUAUCUCCUGGCAAUGAUAUCCCAGACAUUAUUUAAUAUUAGAUAAUGUACAAGACAUAAGUACAACGACUAUUGUAGCUUAAAUGAGAAUCUGCUAGAGUCGUGCCUCAGAUUAUUACACUAUGAAUGAUUAAUUUUCGCAUUAUUUCAAUUGUAUUUUAUCGUUACAACUCUGGAGUAUUAUUUUCACGAUUGAUGGUUACCAAAUAAAUUGGCAGUGUUUUCAAUGAUUGAUAAUUCAAUUCAAUGAAUUACAAUGGCGGUCCUCAAUCGUGAAAAUCUGAACAUUGAUUUGUUUUCAGUUCACUAGUUUUUUUUCUAUUAUCUCAGUCGGUAUAAAAACGUUUAUAUAUUAGUGAUAUGUUUCUCGUAGAUUACACAGUAUGGAUUAUGAAUGCUGACAGGGGGAAAAUAGAUGCACAAAAAUUGUGUUCAACAGAAAUCUGAGACAACGACGAUUGAGGUAUUUGUUAGGUGCAUCGCUUUUAUAAUGUUUAUGGUUAGCGACACUACUAUCGGAGAAUCCAUCAUUUUUCAUUUAAUUACAAUUAGAUUUAAUAUUGGUUUUUUCCUUUUAUCGAAAAAUCUUACACUUCUACCAGAAAUUGUUUCUUCCAUUUUAAUCGAAGACGUGUUUUUUUUUCUUGUUUCUUUUUUUUUAUGUAUUUGUAAUCAUUUUGUACUUGUACUGUUCAGCAAGGCAGCGUGUUGCACUUUGUUACUUUUAAUUCAUUUUUUUUUUUUCAUUAUUUAAUUACAUUUAAAUCCGGCUCAUAUAUCUGCUCCAAUCACUCAAUUAUUACUUCGUUAAAGUAUUGUUAUUUGUUACUACGAAGUUGUAAAAACCUAUUUUCUCAUUUACGCAAAUACAAUUAUGACAAGCAGACGAGGAUGGAUCAAUUGAAGUUUCAUGAAUUGUCUCUAAUCAAUGAUUUUUUUUUUCGACAGGAUUAAGUAUCACGGAGAGAACAUGUGGACGUUUUUUUUUGCACAUCGUUCUUCUAUCCACUAUAGAGUGAUUCGUUUAACAAUAGUAACUAUAAUAAACAAAAGCGAAGAUGAAACAAUAUAUGAAAUACAUUUUGUUGUUUUGAUCAACAGUUCUCUUGUCCUUCGUAAUGAAAUUUAUUUCGCUUGCUCAGAGAAGAAAUCAUUCCAUAAUGAAGAUUAUAUACGUUUAUUUAUUUCUCUCGUUAUUGUUUAAAAGAAAAAAACGUUAAACGAGAUGAGAAAAAUUCCCGUGAAUUAUUUCCCCUUCGUUCCCUACCUUUUCUCUAAUGCGUGAGACUUACAGCAAAUAAAUUCAGAAAAACAAACAUAAACAUCAAUAAUGAAUAAUUAAUAAUGCAAUAAUAUAAUAGUGUAUUGAUGUAUUCAAUCAUAAUAAGCUGCUGUGUCAAGUUCUCAUAAACAUAUUUCAACAAUCACUUUGAGAACAGACGCAAAUAGUAAAGGGAAAUUAAUAGUAAUGAUAAUAAUAAUAAUCCUGUGGAGAAUUACCUUACGGAAUAUUACUAAUAAUUAUUUAUAGAUAUGUAUAUGUAUGUACACAAAGAAUCAACUGAAUUAUCUUGGAGAGGGGAAAAAAAUAUUUCUGAGGAUAUCGUACAUUAGACUAAUUCACAUCGAUUGAAACUACUAAUUAUAGACGUAUAAUUAUAAUUCACUCGUUGAAGUUCUCCCAACGAGUGCAUCACGAGUAUACUCAGUAAAGAAACUAUCGAUUGCAAAUAAUGAAAAAUAAUUGUUGAUUAAAAGAUACAAACGCCAACUAAUACGGAUUGAUCGUUCAGUUGAAAAAAAAAGUGCCUCAGUCAUGAUGAUAAGUUUUAGGUGAUGAUUCUGUCCACCGCAUCGCGAAACUCAUAAACAAUUCAUUCAGGAAAAAAAAUAGAAAGAAAUAAAUGAACGGAGUUGUGAAUUUUUUCAGCAUUGCACGUUAAUUAUAUUUAUAUGGCCAGGAUGAUUGAAUCAGUCGACGCUUAUAUAAUAUUUGUUUAUCAGUGAAUGUGCCACAAUGAUGAGACAAUAAUCGAAAUGCCAUUUUUGAAAAUCAGUUAUGCGUUGUCAUUCCAUACGAAUUACGAACUUUGGUCCAUUUGUUUCAAUAAUUUUUCCUCGCGAUUACAUAUUUUGAGUUCUCUGGUGUUUGAUGAACCGUCCGACAAAUUUUUUCUUGAUUUUUUUUUUCUUCUUUUUGUAACAAUUGAUUUAUAUUUAGUGUUCAUUAUCAGUAGUUAUGGCACAAUAUAUAAAUAUUAUAUUUAAAGUCUUUUUGAAGACAUAAUAAAAAUAAAUCUAAGUAGUCUUUCUCCUAUAUGUUCGACAAUUUCAUAUCAUCCUCUUUUAUUUUCUCCGAACAUUACAAUGCUUAGAUCUUUCUUUUCCUUGAUUCGAAUAUUCUUGUUGUUCUCGUUCCUUUAUUUUUUUUUAAGUGCAUUCGUUAAAAAAUGCGAUUCAACUUUUCCUUUAAUGCGAAAAUUCAAUUUCAAAAGCUUUCAAAUUUCUCACACAAAUGAAAAUAUCUAAUUUUGACUUCAAAUAAUCGAAUAAUCCAAAAAUUGAUUUCCCUCAUUGUUUCUUUGGUAAAACAAUAUCACAUGAAACAACAAAAUAAAAAUUUUCCAACCCAUUGGGGACAGUCUAAUCAGUCAACCUUUUCUUUUCCAACUUAACAAGAACAAACAAUAAUUUGGAAAGAGGAGGAAGAAAAUAAACGAAAAAUAGAAACAAGUAAUGUUUUUUAAAGGUUAUUCGAUUUUUUCUUAAUUAAACUGACGUCUAAAUUAUAAAAAUCAGCCUUCUCGACAGUAAAUUCGCAUUAUCAAAGCAUUUUCUCACAGCGCUAAGAAAGAAGAAAACGUAUUUUUCAAAUUGAGCUACGUGUGCAAAAGGAAAUAACUUCCAUUUACGCUUGAAUAGUCUCUUUAACCCACGAAGAAAAACAAUUGUUUUUUAAUCAAUUAUGGAAACCUACCGAUUGUGGAAGAAAAAUUGCCGGAAAUGGAACUGCCAACCCGAUAAUUACUAAUUCACAAGAUCAUCAUAUCCCAAGUCAUAUCCAUCAUACCCACCAUACCCCAUUCCAUCAAGCUCAUGACGAAAAUAAUCCCUGAUUUCCGGUCAAUUUUCACCAGAAAAAAUGUCAGAUUAAACAUUCGAAAAUGAGAAAUGAGUCAUGCAAGUAAUGAAUGCAUGCUAUUCUCAGCAUUCUCUUAAAAAAAAAUCGCUGAUGAUUAAUUGAUUAUACAAGUAAAUCAAAUACUAGUAUCAACGACAACUCGCACCUGGCCUAUAAUAAAUGCUCCUCCAUCGUUAGUCCUAUCGAUAUAUACCCUAUUCAUAUAUACAGUAUGUGAUAUAGAGUGCAAAUAAAAAUAGAUAGUUCAAAAUAUGUAUUUUUUUUUUGUUUUUUUAAUCCCCUUUUUAGUCCUCUUUAUAGCAUACACGAGACAAAGUCCAUAUCAAUAUUUGUUCUCAUCCAAAAUGAUAAUUUCUCAUUAAUCACUCGCUACAUCGCUAAUUGUUCUCAUUUACAGAAGACAUGACGCAAUUAUUCAGCUACAUUAAAAAUUUUUUUCGUUAUUUCGAGUGGAUCACAAAGAAUUCUACUCAACCCUUAAAUUUCGAUUGUGUUGGCACAUUAGAAUGGAAUUUGUUAUUCAAUUUGAACAAAUUAAUCGAAACACUUAUCGAGCCAACUGAUCGAGAAAAUUAAAAAUUUGGUAUUCAAUUACUAAUUAUUCAAGUCUACUACGUACUUUGGCAUCGUGAAAUGUUUUUUUUUUUCGUUAAUUUUGAGCAGACGAUGGUCUCAAUUUUACGACUAAUUUUUCUUUAUUCAUUAUAACUCAUAUAUAAUUUUUAAAAACAUUUAACUAAUUCGUUUCGCAAUUGACUCGAUCAGUUGUUAAUAAACAUCAUUUGUUCCAAUUAGCGGAUCAAAUCACUUGGAUAGACUUGCCCAUCAUUGUGA